GUUACAGAGGUGAAAGCCCGUCCUCAUCUCCUUUCCUCUAGAACAAUACGCCCCUUUGCAAUCGCAUCUCUCCUCUCGACCUUUUUCGAUCCCCAUCUCUCCACCGGUGACGGCAAGUCGGAAACGAACCAAGGCAGAGCGCCGCCUCUGCAGCCUUGCCUGUGAGUCACCGGCGUGGCGGCGACCUAGCCCAGGUCCACUCCAGCCGCACGUCAGCAUCAGCGUCACCGUGAAUUUGUGAAUUGAUGAUCUAGCAGGUGGUGGGUUAUUUGCAUGUACUAGCAGCUGCCACAAGGAUAUAUUAAUAUAUUGUAGAAUCAGGUCCAACCUUUGCGCCAAUGUAUGAUCUGGCCAUUUGCUGCUUUGCAAUUUGUCUGAUCUAGUCUGCACACGAUACUAUUCAAUUCAACAAGCAUCAAGGCUACAUUGACAUUGUAUCUACUGGGCCGCAACACCAAGCUUCUAGGUGCAGUGGUUAGCCUCACCUCCAUAUAUUCGAAAACAAUUGGAUUUAAAUGCUAUUAAGAAGUUACUGCUUUUCCCUAGACCAUGUGAUCGGUACCUUGCUGGAGUAGAAGGUUUUCUUGAUUUUGCAUACAGGGAAAAAAAUCCUAAUGAUAAGAUCCGAUGUCCAUGUAAGAAAUGUGUCAAUAAGUGGUCAUUAAAGCGGGACGAAGUCUAUGACCAUUUAGUAUGUAAUGGAAUGCUACAUGGAUAUACUCCUUGGUUACUUGAAUUUCAGGAAAAAUGUCAGGACUUAAAAGUCAUGACUGUCAUAUUCUAAUCCAACAAUUUCUUCAUAUUGCUUUACGAGGUGUGCUUCUACAAUGUUACAUCUAUAUUAUUUGAUCUAUGUGGUUAUUUUAGACAAUUAAGUGCAAAAGUCCUAUACAUAGAUGUGCUUCAAAAGUUGGAUGAACAAAUUAAAAUGACAUUAUGUCGUAUGGAGAUGAUAUUUCCUCCUGGAUUUUUUAUACUAUUAUGGUGCAUUUAGUUGCUCAUUUAGCAACUGAAGCAAAAAUAUGAGGCCCUGUGUGUUACCGAUCGAUGUACUUUAUGGAAAGGUAUGUUUAUAUUACAAAUAAAAUUGAAUUUGUUAUCCAAUAUAUAUUUCUUACCAUUUUCGCAUUUCCAUGUUUAUGCUGAUAUUUGUGUGUGUUAAAGUCAUAUGUGCGUAAUAAUGCGCAUCCUGAGGGAUGCAUAGCUGAAGCAUUUUUAGCAGAUGAGUGUAUGACAUUUUGUUCAAGAUAUAUUGAAGGUUUUGAGACAAAGCACAACCAACCUUCACGAAAUGAUGAUAACGAUGAGUCCAGUGUGUGUCCUGAUGAUGAACAUCAACCAAAUAUUUUGUCAAGGCAAGCCUAGAAGUUUCGUUAUAAGUGGUUUGGCUAAAAUCCAAGCACAUAGAUAUGUGCUUUUCAAUUGCCCAGAUGUCAAUCCAUACCUUCGAAUGCAUGCUGAGGAGAUUAGAAAAACAUAUCGGCGGGGCCGUAUUACUCCAAAUAUUAUUGAGCGUACAUAGAAUGAGAAAUUCCAUGAAUGGUUUAAUGCUUAUGUAAGUGUCAUUUUCGCAGGUGACACAACAUUUGAGCCAUUCCAUGUGUUCAAUGAUGCAAACAAUUAUGAACAAUGGGUUAGAACAGAUGUUGAUGGAAUGACAGUGGAUGCCACUAACAGUGCUUUGAAUAAUAAACCAUAGUGGAUGGUAAUUUUUUUCCUCAUUAUUUCGCUAUUCAUGGUCCAUCCGAUUGUUAUGGUGGAAAAUUGAUCAAGUGAAGGCUUGCUUUACCAACCUCUUUGCAGAUUUCAGUUAUAAUUUUGUUCAGUUACGAAGGUGGCACAUUGAGGAAAUUAUUCAUUGUGUACUGAACUUCUGAUUUUUGUACCGUUAAAUUAUGAAAUAAUGUUAUUAACUCUAUGAUUUCUAUGGUGCCUUGUUUUCUGCAUAUUAUCUUUUA